GACGAACGCUGGCGGCGUGCUUAACACAUGCAAGUCGAACGCUGAAGACCUGGCUUUUGUUGGGUUGGAUGAGUGGCGAACGGGUGAGUAACACGUGAGUAACCUGCCCUCUUCUUUGGGAUAACGCCCGGAAACGGGUGCUAAUACUGGAUAUUCACUGAUCUUCGCAUGGGGGUUGGUGGAAAGGUUUGUUCUGGUGGGGAUGGGCUCGCGGCCUAUCAGCUUGUUGGUGGGGUGAUGGCCUACCAAGGCUUUGACGGGUAGUCGGCCUGAGAGGGUGACCGGUCACAUUGGGACUGAGAUACGGCCCAGACUCCUACGGGAGGCAGCAGUGGGGAAUAUUGCACAAUGGGCGAAAGCCUGAUGCAGCGACGCCGCGUGAGGGAUGGAGGCCUUCGGGUUGUAAACCUCUUUCGCGCAUGGUCAAGCCGCAACUGUGGGUUGUGGUGAGGGUAGUGGGUAAAGAAGCGCCGGCUAACUACGUG
rnacentral:rRNA from 1 species